CAGAAAAUAGUUUAAAAAAUAUUAAUUUUGGGAAUUAAAGAUAAAGAAGUUUCUUUUUUUCUGA
rnacentral:tRNA from 2 species